rnacentral:lncRNA from 1 species
UACCUGGAACUAAAGCUUUUUAUUUUAACUAAUUUUGGGGCCUUAAUAUACCAGUAAUAGACUAAAUCUAAAACUGUACAACAGUUUAUUAACAACAACAGUAUUAACAAAAUUAUGCAACAUGCUUUACACAGUUUUCUAUACGAUUUGCAUCGUGACUUUUCCACCUGAAUGUACCACUGCAGUUGUGCAAUGACCCUGAUACAGGCUACAUGUUUGAGCUUUAUUCAACAACAUAGAAAGAGGAAAGGACAACAGGGAGCGAGAGGGUGGAGCUCAAACAUAGAGAUGGAGUGAUUGAAAUGGAAGUGAGCAGGUAGCUGAAAGGUGGACAGGACUGGUGUGUUUGGAAGAGGGAACUUUAUCGCCUACUUCAUCAUCAAAAUCACCAUCUUAAGGAAAAGGACCAAGACUCAAGGAGUAGGAAGCACGUAGAUGACUCAUGCAAAGUUGAAGGAAUCAGUUUCUGUUUUCUUUAUCAUUUUCUGUAUGAUCGUGAUGUCUCUGUUGACUCAAAUUUCUCUUCAUCUCAUGAUGUCAACACAGCUGAUACCAGACUGAUCCAUGUCAGUUUUCCAGACCGAUGGUGGACUGUGAAGGGGUUUCAAUGGAUAGGCUACUCAGGUGGAAGCGGAGAGAGGAGAUGAGGAGAAGGAAGGUGGGAAAAGUGUGUCUAUUCUCUCUCCACAGCUGAAAGCCAUGAUCCGGAUCAAGAAGAAAUACCUAAAGAAAUCGAAUUCAGUCAGGUCGGCUCAUAAUAUUAACUCAGUUGUGUCCAGUGGUGGACGAAGUACACAAAUCAAGUACUUGAGUAAAAGUACAGAUACGUAUAAUAAAAUAUUACUCCAGUAAAAGUAAAAGUACUCCUUUUUCAAUUUUACUCAAGUGAAAGUACAAAAGUACUAAAUUUUUCAUGUACUUAAGUAAAAAAGUACUGAAAGAUAGAUGUUUGCAAUUUUAUAUAGGCUAAUUUAAUUUUAUAUUAGCACAUUUUUUUAUAUAAUCCUACUGCUCAAAAUACCUGGGAUUUUUUCCAAAAUAACCACUAUAUGGAGUCAAGAUUUAUUUUUGUUGUUGAUAUGGACUACGUUGAUGAGAGUAACGUUAACUGUGAAGCUUACACUGUGAUGUACCUGAGAGAAAACAGAGAUGACCAUCUGAUUUUCAUCAGUAAGAACAAAGUAUUUUAAAGUUUGUUGUUUUACAGAACAUCAGAGUUAUAUAUGACAUGAUAAUAAGGCCUGAAGAUUUUAAGGAAAAUAUAAUUAUAUUUUCAUAAUGAUUUUUUCCUUCUCAAACCUUGUCUGGGGUGUAAAAACACCACUGGCCAAAUGGGGUGCAUCUCUUCCCCUCUUUGAUAAUUACUGUAGUUACCAUGUUCUGAACAUCACAUCCUUUCUUUUCUCCCCAGAUGUAAUCUAUAUAUAUAUAUAUAU